rnacentral:rRNA from 1 species
CCGGUUGAUCCUGCCGGAGGCUACCGCUAUUGGAGUUCGAUUAAGCCAUGCGAGUCGCGAGUCUUAGGGACUCGGCGUACCGCUCAGUAACACGUGGGUAACCUGCCCUAUGCUGGGGGAUAACCUCGGGAAACUGAGAAUAAUGCCCCAUAGUUCACUACGCCUGGAACGGUGAGCGGAUGAAAGCUCCGGCGGCAUAGGAUGGGCCUGCGGCGUAUCAGGUCGUAGGGGGUGUAACGUACCCUCUAGCCAUCGACGCGUACGGGUGUUGGGAGACAUAGCCCGGAGAUGGAUUCUGAGACACGAAUCCAGACCCUACGGGGUGCAGCAGGCGCGAAAACUUGGCAAUGCGAGAAAUCGUGACCAGGGAACUCCAAGUGGCUGGGGUAAGACCCAGUCUUUUCUUGACUCUUCAAAGGUCUUGGAAUAAGAGGUGGGUAAGGACGGUGCCAGCCGCCGCGGUAAUACCGGCGCCUCAAGUGGUAGUCGAUUUUAUUGGGCCUAAAACGUCCGUAGCCUGUUUGGUACAUUCGUGGGUAAAUCAACCAGCUCAACUGGUUGAAUUCUGCGAGCACGGCCAGACUUGGGACCGGGAGAGGUGUGGGGUACGCUCAGGGUAGGGGUAAAAUCCUGUCAUCCUGAACGGACCACCUGUUGCGAAGGCGCCACACUAGAACGGAUCCGACGGUCAGGGACGAAGCCUAGGGGCACGAACCGGAUUAGAUACCCGGGUAGUCCUAGGUGUAAACGCUGUGGACUUGGUGUUGGGGAUUCUCCGAGGAUUCUCAGUGCCGAAGCGAAGGUGAUAAGUCCACUGCCUGGGGAGUACGGUCGCAAGGCUGAAACUUAAAGGAAUUGGCGGGGGAGCACCGCAACCUGAGGAUUGUGCGGUUUAAUUGGAUCAACGCCGGG